CUUGGUCAGUUGGUUAGCAGUACUAGUUCUCGCGUUAUGAUUCUGAACCUCAGGCUCUAACAGUCUGCACCGCGCCACAACCGUCCUCCAACUCCAAGGAUGCACCGCGUCACAACCGUCCACACACUGCUCUGCCCACCAUGUCGGCAAGGUCCUUCUUUCGCGCGGCCAUGUUCCUGCUGGUCCAGCUGGCUGGCAUCUACUUGGAACACGCAGCAGGGUUUCCGUAGGGUUGUACUGUAAACCCCAAUCGGCAUACCGUGUCAUGCCCUCCGGACCCUCCAAGUCCGCCGUGUUAUCAUCCACCGUGUCCACGUUCUUAGUUGCCCGGAGCAGCGUUGCAACGCAAGUUUUCAAACAUGUGAGAAAGGCUCACUCGAGUGGGAAUGAAUGCACAAGUUCCCCUGUCUAUGCAUGAUGAUUGUGAGAUGAAAACAUUUCUUUUCAUGUCCACCUGCCAUGGAUGCAGACUUGUGUCAUGUAGUGGGUACAGUUUUGUGAAAAUUUAUGAACGGUUAAAUCCUCUGUGUACUGAGAAUAAUAUAUAUUAUUUUGAUACUUCAUGUGUGUAGAACAUAUUAAACGAUUAACAAAGGAUGUUUUCACCGAA